UGGGGAAUUUUGCACAAUGGGGGAAACCCUGAUGCAGCGACGCCGCGUGAUUUAGAAGGCCUUCGGGUUGUAAAAAUCUUUUUUACGGGAUGAAAAUGACAGUACCGUAAGAAUAAGGUCCGGCUAAAUACGUGCCAGCAGCCGCGGUAAUACGUAUGGACCGAGCGUUGUCCGGAAUCAUUGGGCGUAAAGGGUACGUAGGCGGCCUAGUAAGUUAGAAGUGAAAUAAUAUAGCACAACUAUAUAAAGCUUUUAAAACUGCUAGGCUUGAGAGAUGGAAGGGAAAGUGGAAUUCCUAGUGUAGCGGUGAAAUGCGCAGAUAUUAGGAAGAAUACCGGUGGCGAAGGCGACUUUCUGGUCAUCAUCUGACGCUGAGGUACGAAAGCGUGGGUAGCAAACAGG
rnacentral:rRNA from 1 species